AUCAACUUUCGAUGGUAGGAUAGAGGCCUACCAUGGUAGUAACGGGUAACGGGGUGUUAGGGCACGACACCGGAGAGGGAGCCUGAGAAACGGCUACCACAUCCAAGGACGGCAGCAGGCGCGCAAAUUACCCAAUCCCGACACGGGGAGGUAGUGACAAUAAAUAACAAUACGGGGUCCUUACGGUCUCGUAAUUGGAAUGAGUAGAAUUUAAAUCUCUUAACGAGGAACAAUUGGAGGGCAAGUCUGGUGCCAGCAGCCGCGGUAAUUCCAGCUCCAAUAGCGUAUAUUAAAGUUGUUGCAGUUAAAAAGCUCGUAGUUGAAUUUUAGGCCUGGCCUGGCGGUCCGUCUUUGGCGAGUACUGUCCGGUGUCGGGUCUUCCUUCUGGUGAACUUGUAUGUCCUUUAUUGGGUGUGCUGGGGAGCCAGGACCAUUACCUUGAAAAAAUUAGAGUGUUUAAAGCGGGCUAUUGCUUGAAUAGAUUAGCAUGGAAUAAUAGAAUAGGACGUUGUGGUUCUAUUUUGUUGGUUUCUAGGACCACCGUAAUGAUUAAUAGGGAUAGUUGGGGGCAUUAGUAUUCAAUUGUCAGAGGUGAAAUUCUUGGAUUUAUUGAAGACUAACUACUGCGAAAGCAUUUGCCAAGGAUGUUUUCAUUAAUCAAGAACGAAAGUUAGGGGAUCGAAGACGAUCAGAUACCGUCGUAGUCUUAACCAUAAACUAUGCCGACUAGGGAUCGGAUGAUGUUAUUUUUAAUGACUCAUUCGGCGCCUUACGGGAAACCAAAGUGUUUGGGUUC
rnacentral:rRNA from 1 species